AGAAUCAACGCUGGCGGCGUGCCUAACACAUGCAAGUCGAACGAGAAAGUGGAGCAAUCCAUGAGUAAAGUGGCGCACGGGUGAGUAACACGUGACUAACCUACCCUUGAGUGGGGGAUAACCUAGGGAAACCUGGGCUAAUACCGCAUAAUACCGAGAGGUCAAAGGAGCAAUUCGCUUAAGGAGGGGGUCGCGGCCGAUUAGUUAGUUGGCGGGGUAAUGGCCCACCAAGACUAUGAUCGGUAUCCGGCCUGAGAGGGCGCACGGACACACUGGAACUGAAACACGGUCCAGACUCCUACGGGAGGCAGCAGUGGGGAAUUUUGCGCAAUGGGGGAAACCCUGACGCAGCAACGCCGCGUGGAGGAUGAAGUCCUUCGGGACGUAAACUCCUUUCGAUCGGGACGAUUAUGACGGUACCGGAAGAAGAAGCCCGGCUAACUUCGUGCCAGCAGCCGC
rnacentral:rRNA from 1 species